rnacentral:rRNA from 1 species
UCUUGAUGGAGGGGAGUGGCAGACGGGUGAGUAACGCGUGGGAAUCUACCGUACCCUACGGAAUAGCUCUGGGAAACUGGAAGUAAUACCGUAUACGCCCGCAAGGGGAAAGAUUUAUCGGGGUAUGAUGAGCCCGCGUUGGAUUAGCUAGUUGGUGGGGUAAAGGCCUACCAAGGCGACGAUCCAUAGCUGGUCUGARAGGAUGAUCAGCCACAUUGGGACUGAGACACGGCCCAAACUCCUACGGGAGGCAGCAGUGGGGAAUAUUGGACAAUGGGCGCAAGCCUGAUCCAGCCAUGCCGCGUGAGUGAUGAAGGUCUUAGGAUUGUAAAGCUCUUUCACCGGAGAAGAUAAUGACGGUAUCCGGAGAAGAAGCCCCGGCUAACUUCGUGCCAGCAGCCGCGGUAAUACRAAGGGGGCUAGCGUUGUUCGGAAUUACUGGGCGUAAAGCGCACGUAGGCGGGUAUUUAAGUCAGGGGUGAAAUCCCAGAGCUCAACUCUGGAACUGCCUUUGAUACUGGGUAUCUUGAGUAUGGAAGAGGUAAGUGGAAUUGCGAGUGUAGAGGUGAAAUUCUUAGAUAUUCGCAGGAACACCAGUGGCGAAAGCGGCUUACUGGUCCAUUACUGACGCUGAGGUGCGAAAGCGUGGGGAGCAAACACGAUUAC